UAGCACACAGUUCUUUCUAAUCUGGUCGUUUGACUCUUGAGGGAGUAAGUCUGUAAUAGUAACUGGUGAAUUCUGUCCAGAGUUAGUAUUUUUGUGGUGGUUUUGGGCUUACCCAGUAUUG
ensembl:snoRNA SNORA56 small nucleolar RNA, H/ACA box 56